GGAGAAUCUCUUGAACCUGGGAGGCGGAGCCGAGAUCGUGCCGCUGCACUCCAGCCUGGUGACAGAGCAAGACUCCAUCUCAAAAAAAAAAAAAAAAAAAAAAAAAAAAAAAAAAGAAGGCUUCUGAGUGGGGCAGGGUUGCGUGGGGAAGGAAGGCUGGCCAAAGAUGGAACUGCCUGUGGAAAGGUGCUGGGGCAGGAAGGAAGGAGAUCAUGAAUGCGGGCUGCCUUCAGAUCCUUGAGGAGGAUUUUAAAGGGAUCUAGAGCAGACUCAGUUGCUCCUAACCAGUAAAGAAAAAGAGGCUAGGUGGGACUUGUGGUCAAUACUGCUAACACUGGUGGCCUCAAAAGAGAAAGCACACUGGACUCCACUCACAAGCCCUGAGCUCCACACUAGGACUGUGCUUUACUAGCUGUACAACUUGGACGAGUCACUGAUCUCCAGCUGCUGCAUUGCUUUGCAAGGACCAACUCCAUCAGAUGUUCCGGAGACUGAGGAAUCAAAGCCUUAGAAGACCAGGGUUAGGAAAUUAUACAGCAACAGGACUAACAGGAGAACAGGACACUCUCCAAACUCUCCCUCCAGUCUAAGAUGAUGCCAGCUCCAGGAAGUUGGGGAUUGUCUUCCUCACUCCUGUAUUCCCGGCUCCUAGAACAGUGACUGUCACCCAGCAGCUGUUGAGCUAAUGGCUAUUGAGUGGACAACCACUCGAGCAACAAUGCAGUCAGCUUCGUGGACUUUGUUUUACUGAGGGGCAUCUGGAGAGUUGGGACCAGAGGUGAAUUGCUCAAGAGAAGAGGGAAGCAGUGAGGACACAGCUGUCCUCCUCCAUCUAUCCCCAGGUCAGGCAGCCCCCUCCUCUAAGGCAGAGAAUAUUGUUUGAAAGGCACUUGUCUUCACUUAUUUUGUGCUGCUACAACAGGAUACCACAACCUGAGGAAUUUAUAAUGAACAGAAAUUUAUUGGCUUAUGGUUCUAGAGACUGGGAAGUCCAAGAUCAUGAGCAUCUGGUGAGAUCACUGACAUCUGGUCAGGGCCUUCUUGCUGCAUCAAACAUGAUGGAAGGGCAAAGAGGGGGUGAGAGAGACAAGAGGGUGCCAACCCCUCCCAUGAUAAUGGCAUAAAUCCAUUCAUGAGGGUGGUGCCCCCAUGACCCAAACACCUACCAUUAGGCCCCACCUCCCAACACUACUGCGUUGGGGGUCAAAUUUCCAGCACUUGAACUUUGGGGAACCCAUUCAAACCACAGCAGCACUGUGGCAGACACUGCCAGUUCCCUGCCCAACAGGCAUUCCCCCUUUUCCUUGGCAACAGAUGCUAAAUUUAUUCAGGGUUGCAUGGUGCCAGCUUAAAAAGCUCAGCUCUGGGCUCCCUUGCAUCUGGGAAUGGCCUAUGGCACAUGUAGCCAGUUAGAUACAAACAGAAGCUGUUGGGAUUGGGGUGGUUAGAGGAAAGGUUGUUAAAAAGGAUGGACUUGAUCUGACAUGUCUGCCUCCUUCUUUUUGUCUGAAACUGGAGAUUUGGCCACUUAUCUGUCUUGAAAACCUGAUGAAAGCUACACACAUAGGAGGGCAGAAUGGAAAGACACACAGAACCUGGGUUUCUGAUAGCCCUGUACUAUUGGUCUCCAAAUUUCUUGGUAUGUGAGAAAAGCAAUCUCCUAUUUGGUUAAGCCACUGUAGCCACUGACAGGCAUCUGAACACAGCCCUGAUGGCUGCUUGCACCACCUGACUAGCUGCUGAGAUGCUGAAGUUCUUACAGAGUCCCUGAGUCCCAGGUCAGCCAAAUUAGCACAAAUUACUGAAGACACCAUCUCACAAUGGAUGGAGGCACUCCAGGGAGGCCGAGAACAACUGAAUGAUGCCUGAACCAACACAUGCAAGCACACACACACACACACACACCUAUUAGCUCAGACAACUGUGAGCCGGGAGAAUUUUGGACACAUAAGAGAGAGGGUUCUUGAAGAUGAGCAGGGACUGUAACCAUGAACUUCCUUUCCCAAAAGAAAAACUGUCCAGUCAUUCUGAAAGGAGGUGGAGUUGCACGUUGGGAGGGGAAAUCUAGAAUUCUGACCUGACAUGCUUAGCGUUUGCACUUACGCAGCUGUGCUCCCUGUGAAGGUACAGGAAUCCUGCUCCUCACCAAGAUCCAGGGGCAGCAAGCAGCUCUGCUCUUUCACGCACAGCAUACAUCUCCACCUGUGUUACCACUGUCAGAAGGUGCACUUUCCGUCUGAAUUAACAAAAAGCAUGAACCAUACUGGCUGUUAGGGACUGAAUGUUUAUAUCCCUCAAAAAUCAAAUGUUUAAGCCCUAACCCCCAACGUGACUAUAUUUAAAAACAGAGCCUAUAAGGAGGAGGCGCAGAGGACACACCAUGUGAGGACACAGCAAGAAGGCAGCUGUUUGUAAGCCAGGAACAGAGCCCUCACCAGAAACUGACUUUCUAGCACGUGAUCACAGACUUCCAGCCUCCAGAACUGUGAGAAAAUAAAUGUCUGUUUUUAAUCAGUCUAUGGUAUUUUGUGAUGGCAGCCUGACUAAUGCAAAUCUGUUCUGACCAAAACAGACUUUAUCCCCCUAAUAAAAAAAGCCAAAGAUUAAAUGAUUUCUGCCUAAUAUCUUCAAAUUUCCAGAACCUUUCCAAAAUAGAAGCUGAAGUCAUUGGCAUUAUUGGAGCAGACUUAGAGGACAAGCCUGGAAAUGUUUCUGGUUUGUCCUUCUUGUGAAAUAGAACAUUAUGAGAAAGGCCAAGUGCUUCUCACAGUUGAUCCUUUGAGACCAGGGCCUCCAUAAAUAUUUGAUGAUGUUUGAUGAAUGAACAAAUGAACACAUGAACAAAAGGCCAUAACGGGGCUUUCUGUGACCCAGGGGAAUGAGGUAGAGCCAGCAUGGCUCACUGCUCCCGAAGAUGUAAAAUCACAGAUGCGCUCAAGGUUUCCAGGACAAGUGGUCUUUGUAUUAUGGAAUAAAAGGAUUCCUGGAAAGUUGUGCAUAGACCAAAAUUUGCAAAAUAACUUAUAUUUUAAAUUAAUCACUAUAUUCUAAGAUCCAUCUCAGUAAUCCAUUGAAAAACCAAGAAUUUUUUCUCAGAAGAUGAGUGUCCCCCAUUGUGGAUACAUAUAUAUAUAUAUAUAUAUAAAUAUUUUUUUUUUUUUUAGACGAAGUCUUGCUCUGUCACCCCGGCUGAAGGGCAGUGGCAUGAUCUUGGCUCACGGCAACCUCUGCCUCCUGGGUUCAAGCAAUUCUCAUGCCUCAGCUUCCUGAGUAGCUGGGAUUACAGGCGUGCACCAACAUGCCCAGCUAAUUUUUGUAUUUUUAGUAGAGACAGGGUUUCGCUACAUUGGUCAGGCUGGUCUUGAACUCCCGACCUCAAGUGAUCUGCCCGCCUUGGCCUCCCAAAGUGCUGGGAUUACAGGCAUGAGCCACCACUCCCGGACAUGGAUGAAUCUCUUACAGAAGCUUGGACCCAAUUUCAGCCUCAAUGAAAGAGGAAGGAAAAGUGAACUGAUAAUGAAGCUAAGACAAUAAAGCCAAGAAGUACCUCCAGGACCAUCCCAGCCCCUUGUUUUACAGGUGAAGAUACUGGGGCAUCGAGAGGAGCCUUGCCCAGGGCCAUCCAGCUGAUGGUGGCCUGCGUGGUCUUCUGGCGGCCAGGCCAGCCAUCUUCCCUUAUUGCAAAAAUUCAAUUCGAUAUACAUAUAUUUGCUGUUAUUGCUAUUUUUGAUGUUUUGCUGUUAGCAUUGUAUUUUCCAGAAUGCUUUACUGUUAUUUAGAGCAAUCUACUACCUGGAAGAAUUAUAUUCUUUUUAUUUUUUUUGAGACAGAGUCUCACUCUGUUGCCAGGCUGGAGUGCAGUGGCGCAAUCUUGGUUCACUGCAACCUCUGCUUCCCGGGUUCAAGCAAUUCUCCUUCCUCAGCCUCCCAAGUAGCUGGGAUUACAGGCACGUGCCACCAUGCCCAGCUAAUUUUUGUAUUUUUAGUAGAGACAGGGUUUCAAUAUGUUGGCCAGGAUGGUCUCGAUCUCUGGACCUGGUGAUCCCACCUUGGCCUCCCAAAGUGCUGGGUUUACAGGCGUGAGCCAUCGUGCCUGGCCUCCUUGCUUAAUCUUUGUCUCAUUUUUCUUUGUCAAAAUAUUUCCUGUGGGGCUGGGUGUGGUGGUUCACACCUGUAAAUCCCAGUUACUUGGGAGCCUGAGGCAGGAGGAUUGCUUGAGGCCAGGAGUUUGAGACCAGCCUGGGUGGUGCAGAGAAGCUCUGAUAAAUAAAUAAAUGUUUAUUUCUAUUUUAAAUAAAUAUAUAUAUAUUUCCUUUAGGGCCAGACAGACAACUCCAUGGGCAGAGGAAGGAAGAUGGAGAGGCAGAGAGCGAAUGUGAAGGCUUCAGUUCGGAGGCAGAGACAGGGAUGGCGUGCACUUGGCCUGAUGCUGGUCAUCUCCUGUGCACUGAGCUCAGGCUGGGACAGGCUCUGGGAGAGUGUGCUGCUGCUGGCUCAGAAGGCUGAUUCCCUUUCCGAAGUCAUCACUCAUUAGGAGGAGAAUCCAACAAAUAUUUAUUUAAUAAUGAGAGGCAUUGGACUCUGAUUUAGAGACCAUGGGUUCUGGUCUUGAUUCCAAGCAGUUAACAUCUCCCAAUAAGAAAAGGAAAUGGGUGAUGGCUGAGGCCUCCAGCAGCUCACACCUUCCAGGCUUUUAGGGUCUUUGUGUCUAUGAAACAUCCACAAACUGUGGCCUAUUAACCCCAGAUAUUUGCUGUUUUCAAGAUACAAAAGACUGUCAGAGUUUAAGAUGUGCAUAUGACUGGGGAGCAGCCCUUCACUCAAGCUGCUGUUUAUCUCAACAGAGCAGUCAGGUAAAAGUAACACAGCUACCAGGGGAUUGGAGAGACACCUCUGUGAGGGGGUUGGGGCUCUCUCAGCCUCACUGAAUGAAAUCAUGAAAGAUAUUGAUAAGGUCCCUAGUAACACUUUAAGACAAAGAAAUUUUCCUUUGGAAUUGAAGACCUGACCUUCUGGUCUCUUUAUUCUUUUUAUUUUUUAAUAGAGACAGGGCCUUGCUCUGUUGCCAGCUGGGGUGCAGUGGCAUGAUCAUGGGUCACUGCAGCCUCAACCUCCUGGGCUCAUGUGAUCGUCCUGCCUCAGCCUCCCGAGUAGCUGCGACUACAGGAGCAUGCCACCAUGCCUGGCUAAUUUUUAAAUUUUUUGUAGAGACGUAUGUCUCUCACUAUGUUGUCCAGGCUGGUCUUGAGCUCCUGGGCUCAAGUAAUCCUCCUGCUUUGGCCUCCCAAAAUGUUGGAUUACAGACGUGAACCAUUGCAGCAUCCUUGGUCUCUUUAUUCUUUUUUU
rnacentral:lncRNA from 10 species